rnacentral:sRNA from 1 species
UUCGACCAAGGUUCGACUUGAGCGCCAGCGAGAGAGCGUUGCCGCAGGCAACGACCCGAAGGGCGAAGCGCGCAGCGUUGAGUAAUCCUUCCCCCACCACCA